rnacentral:rRNA from 1 species
GUCAACCCAGUCCACGCCCCGCGUCGUCCUCCCCUUCUCCUCUUCCUCGCUCUUGCGACCGAAAUCGCCGCCGCCGUCGCCGUCGCCGCUCAACCCCGGCCGCCUCCGGUGGUUUCUGCCGCCGUCGCCUAGCGCGAACGACGCACCUAGCCGCCCUUUAUCAUCUCCUCCUCUUAGAUUUUCCGGGCGCCUCCUCGUGCGGCUGUGCCCUACCCCGCAUGGGAGCUAGGGUUUGCGCCCCUCGUCGGAGUUGAACUCCGGCGGCCGUCCUGGUGCUCGGGUGGUCAUGGUCGCCGCCCCCUCCCCCGCCCUAACCGCCGCGGACGCGAGGCAGGCCGCGGCGAGGAAGAAGGAGGAGGACGACGAGGAGGUCGUCUGCUUCAUCUGCUUCGACGGUGGAGACCUCGUCGUCUGCGAUUGGAGGUGCGACGCCGCAGUGCGCGACUUCUUCCACGCCUGGAUGGUCAUUGAGCGCGCCCCUCCUGAUUGCAGUCAGUGCCGCCGCCGUCUCCAAGCUGCAGAGUCCCGUUCCUUUCAGCCCGUGCGUUUCCUCAGCGUGAGAUCGAUCGGGAUGUCCCUAAUCUACUGUGUGUACUUUUAACUGAAUUUCCGACAGUGCGUUUGCUCAGCGUGAGAUGGAUCAUCGAGGUUAGUGUGCCAGCACCGCACUCUGCUCAGCGUGAGAUUUCCGACAGUUAACUAAUUAGUCUUAUGAGCUUUAUUAGUGCACUACAUGGUUACAUCGCUCUGCAAUUCUGCAUUUCUUUACUUCUGAUAUCCUCGCUUUUCUCCAUACUUGUUUAGCGGUAUAUUUAACUGUAAAUGAUAACAAUAUUCUGUGCAUUUAUGCACUUCUUUAGUAGGCAAGAACGCUAGGUAAAGAAAUGAUGUAAAUCUCCUUCGUCUAUUUAUACAAGGACAUGGUAACCGCCCCAGUUUCUUUAUUAGUGAAACCAAACAUCUGGCUCAAUACAUCAAUCUAUGGGCAUAGACAUUUGUAGGGGUUUACACCUUAUGUGCUAUUCUUUUGCAGAUCGGCAGAAAUAGCCUUAGCCAAUUCCAAAUAAUGGAAGUUCAAAACAGGCAAACUAAAACGUUUGCUGCUAUAUGAUACACACUGAAUACACCCAGAUAGCCUUCUUUUGUUUGUGUUGUGAUCUGCCGAUUCCUGUUUUAGCAAUCCUUAUUUGUUGAUUCAAAGUCACAGAGUUAUUGAAGUUAGGUUUCUCGUAGCUACACGGGCAGGCUGCUUAGCAUUGCACUAACUAGUUUGGUGGUAGAAAAGUUUCUGUUCCAGUUCUUCCCUAUGUUGGUCUUCACUUGCUAUUUUCAACAGUCACAUGAACAUAAUGUAUUCUUUUUUUAUUCAGUUGCCACACAUGCUGCCAUCUCAAAAAGCAUUUUAUGCUGCUGUAUCUUCCCUUGGCAUCUACAGCAAAGCUGUUUACGAUGGAAAGGGGCUAUUUAGCGCCGCUCGUGUUUGGUGGAUGUUUCGUGCUUAUGGACAUGACAAAGUCUGGGUUUUGGAUGGAGGUUUGCCCCAGUGGCGUGCUUCUGGGUAUGGCGUGGAAUCAAGUGCCUCCAGCGAUGCUAUCUUAAAAGCUAGUGUUGCUAGUGAAGCAAUCGAGAAGGUUUACCAGGGGAGUCGGUAACUUUUUCUAUUCUUCUCUUCUAUGUUUUAUGCUACAGUAAUAACCAUACUUCGCUGAAUUAAAUCACACCAUGAGUCUUUUUGAUCAUUUGCUUUCAGUCUGUCAUGGUUUGCUGAAGAAUGUUCUUUUGACAUCAUUGUUUUUCUAUACUGAGCUGAAGCUUGCUGCUUCCAGGACAUGGAUAGAGGAGAUUAUUUUGAAUUAAGUUUGGGCAAAAAAGACCUGGACAGAUCAAAGAAAUACAUCCAGACGUUGCAGGUAUCACCAUAUUCCAUUGCUAUUACUAUAUUUGUAUUAGUACCCCGAUAUUAGUAUGUGGUUCAUUUUCCAGAUUUGAUAUUAGUAGCCUGAGAAAUAAUAUAUUGGAAAAACUUAAAUUUAUUGGAAAAACAUUUGCUGUUGGACAGUUAUGAUUUUUAGUGUCUACGCUGAUGGUUUCAUAUUCAGUUGUUGUGAUGAUGAUAAUUGUUAUGAUUUAUUCAUUUACAAUGAUCUGUAGCUGCUGUAGUGGAUUAUUACAUGAUUCUGGACCAUGAUAUGCUCAGUUUUACACAUGUAAAAUAUAGAUUUCCCAGUGGCAUGUGUAUUGAGAUGCCUUACUUGUUCGUCUAUUGAUUACUUGGUUAUUUGUGACUUCUGCUGCUCUAGUGCUUGCUUUAGAUGAUCUGAUUUUCAAUAAGUGCAUGUUAUAACACUAAAAACAUUAUGAUCAUCAAAGUAGUGUACUCUCUUGCCAAGUAUUUCUCAGUACAGGAGUUCAGUUAGUGAUAUUGCUCUGUUAAUUCACAACUACAUGAAGUACCAUAUAACUUGAGAAAUCCUCAACUCUGAUCCUAGCUGCAACUACUUCACAAAGUUGGGACUGAAACCAACUUUCUGUUAAUUCACAAAGUUGUCUAUUUUCUCUUUCUAUUCUAAUCUUUCUGUUAAAGUGUUAUUGUAUUUACUAUGCACAUCGGGGCCAAGAGGCUGUCUACAAGCCUAGAACUCGAGUGUAACUUGCUUCUUGUCAAGCUUAUUUUCUUUCAGAGUUAAAUUGCGUUAAAUAUUUCUUUUGGCCAUUAAUUUUCUUGUCGAGCUGUCGCGUGUGGAGGAGCAGGCGAGCUGCUGCUGCUGGAGAUCAUGUGCUCCUGCUAGAUCUUCAUUGUUAGGUCGAAACUGAAUGUUGGUGUGGUUGAUUUUGAUUUGAAUUGUAAACGGAAUGUCGUGGUUGAUUUGAAAUCUAAAUUGAAAUGUACUGUUUAUAGCUGUUGUACUAUCUGUGUAAAAGCAUGGCUGUAAU